UACAGAGGUCUCAAGCGUUGUUCGGAUUCAUUGGGCGUAAAGGGUGCGUAGGUGGCGCUGUAAGUCGGGUGUGAAAUUUCGGAGCUUAACUCCGAAACUGCAUUCGAUACUGCGGUGCUUGAGGACUGGAGAGGAGACUGGAAUUCAUGGUGUAGCAGUGAAAUGCGUAGAGAUCAUGAGGAAGACCAGUGGCGAAGGCGGGUCUCUGGACAGUAACUGACGCUCUGGCGCGAAAGCGUGGGUAGUCAAACAGGA
rnacentral:rRNA from 1 species